GUACUGUGCAAACGUUGUUCAGAAUCACUGGGCUUAAAGGGUACGUAGGCGGCCAGUUAAGUAGGGUGUGAAAUCCCCCGGCUCAACCGGGGAACUGCGCUCUAAACUGACUGGCUUGAGUGAGAUAGGGGUGUGCGGAACUUCCAGUGGAGCGGUGAAAUGUGUUGAUAUUGGAAGGAACGCCGUUAGCGAAAGCGGCACACUGGGUCUCAACUGACGCUGAGGUACGAAAGCCAGGGUAGCGAACGGGAUUAGAUACCCCGGGUAGUCCUGGCUGUAAACGUUGAGCACUAGUCGGGAGGGGUUUCGGCCCUUCCCGGACGCAGCGAAAGCACUAAGUGCUCCGCCUGGGGAGUAUGGUCGCAAGGCUG
rnacentral:rRNA from 1 species